rnacentral:pre_miRNA from 1 species
UUUAAGUAUAAUUAUAGAUUUUUUUCUAACGUUUUAUCAUUCGUCUUAUUCGAAAUUUUUUUAUAAUUAUUAUUUUUAUUUUGUUAGAUGGUAAAACAUAAAUACUAUUUAUGAGUGAUUUAUUUUUAGAAAAUUUUAUGAUAAAUUUUUCAAAUAAAAAGGAUGAUCACAAGUUGGACACAGAGAUCCAUAACUGUACUUAAA